ACUUGGCUCUCGCCCUCCGGCCGGGAAGCAUGGGGCUUCCCAGGCUGGUCUGCGCCUUCUUGCUCGCCGCCUGCUGCUGCUGUCCUCGCGUCGCGGGCUACUGCCUCCCAGGCUGACUUUAUUUCUGGGGAAAGGGCUAAAUCGGGCUCCACAGUUGCAGCCGGUCCAGCUCCACCCUGCCCUGCUCUUCUAGCUCUGGGAGGAGUCAGGGGUCUGAGGCUCUGGGUUGGAGACCCCACCUUCCACCUGCCCUCCUUGUCCGAGAGCCAAGGUGUGCCCGGAGAGGCUGAGCAGCCUGCGCCUGAGCUGGUGGAGGUGGAAGUGGGCAGCACAGCCCUUCUGAAGUGCGGCCUCUCCCAGUCCCAAGGCAACCUCAGCCAUGUCGACUGGUUUUCUGUCCACAAGGAGAAGCGGACGCUCAUCUUCCGUGUGCGCCAGGGCCAGGGCCAGAGCGAACCUGGGGAGUACGAGCAGCGGCUCAGCCUCCAGGACAGAGGGGCUACUCUGGCCCUGACUCAAGUCACCCCCCAAGACGAGCGCAUCUUCUUGUGCCAGGGCAAGCGCCCU
rnacentral:lncRNA from 1 species